GUGCUCACUUUAGCAGCACAUACACUAAAGUUGGAACGAUACAGAGAUUAGCAAGGCCCCUAUACAAGGAUGACAUGCAAAUUUAUGAAGCAUUAUAUAUCUUG